UGCCCUAUCACAGAAUGGAGAACGCUGUAUUCCAGCCCGUUCCAUGCCUUUCUCCUCCUCUGGGCUGGACCGUCUAUAAGUCUCCUUCCUCUUCAGGUUCAACUCUCUCCAGAGACUAGCACGAUCCAGAGAAGGAGGCUUAAUAAAGAAGGGGUCACAGGCAGCCCAGGAUGCUGAAGCAAGGUCAAGCAGACAAAGGAUUUAGUAAAAUGAGAUGGAGUUUAUAAAUAGCAGAUUGUGAAUGACCUAGGAAGGAACAGUGUCUUCAGGAUGUUGGGGCAGAGCCUUAUUGCAAAGGAUUACAAGGUGAUAGAGACUUUGUACACUCCACUCCUCUUGGGCUCCCACCAAACCAUCACAUGAACAGGCUGGAGCUAGCCUUCCAGAGGUGGAGAAUCCACGGAACAGAGACAAAUCAUCUCAGCUGAAGCCAUCCUACAUCAGCCAGUACCCAGU